rnacentral:rRNA from 1 species
CGCUGGCGGCGUGCCUAACACAUGCAAGUCGAGCGGGGACAUGCGACGGAUAGGAAGUUUCGGAUGGAAUUGAAGAUGUAUGUUCUAGCGGCGGACGGGUGAGUAACGCGUGAACAAUCUGUCCUUCACAGGGGGAUAACACAGCGAAAGUUGUACUAAUACCGCAUGAGACCACGGUGGGGCAUCCCACAGGGGUCAAAGGAGCAAUCCGGUGAAGGGUGAGUUCGCGUCCGAUUAGAUAGUUGGUGAGGUAACGGCCCACCAAGUCGACGAUCGGUAGCCGACCUGAGAGGGUGAUCGGCCACAUUGGGACUGAGACACGGCCCAAACUCCUACGGGAGGCAGCAGUGGGGAAUAUUGCACAAUGGGCGCAAGCCUGAUGCCAGCAACGCCGCGUGAGGGAAGACGGUUUUCGGAUUGUAAACCUCUGUUCUUAGUGACGAAGAAGUGACGGUAGCUAAGGAGCAAGCCACGGCUAACUACGUGCCAGCAGCGGC